rnacentral:rRNA from 1 species
AUUGAACGCUGGCGGCAUGCCUUACACAUGCAAGUCGAACGGUAACAGGGAGCUUGCUCCGCUGACGAGUGGCGAACGGGUGAGUAAUGUAUCGGAACGUACCUUUUAGUGGGGGAUAACGUAGCGAAAGUUACGCUAAUACCGCAUAUUCUCUGAGGAGGAAAGCAGGGGACCUUCGGGCCUUGCGCUAAUAGAGCGGCUGAUAUCAGAUUAGCUAGUUGGUGAGGUAAAGGCUCACGAAGGCGACGAUCUGUAGCGGGUCUGAGAGGAUGAUCCGCCACACUUGAACUGAGACACGGUCCAGACUCCUACGGGAGGCAGCAGUGGGGAAUUUUGGACAAUGGGGGCAACCCUGAUCCAGCCAUGCCGCGUGUGUGAAGAAGGCCUUAUGGUUGUAAAGCACUUUAAGCGAGGAGGAGGCUCUUUUGGUUAAUACCCAAGAUGAGUGGACGUUACUCGCAGAAUAAGCACCGGCUAACUCUGUGCCAGCCGCCGCCGUAA